AGCGGGGCUAGAGGGUUGUCAGCUAGUUACAACUCAUUCCGAAGGAAUGAAGCAGUAUGACGUCCCAAUUGCUUUGAUAAGCCAACGGGCUCUACACAAACAUGUGCAAAGAAGUUGCACUCUACCACUUAUUGCCUGGAAGCGGGACCUUAUCUGUAUCGUCUUCCUACCUCAUAGCAUAAUCGCUUUAUUUAACGGUGUCUCCUAGGGUUAUGAGUGGCAUGCCAACAAGAGUCCACUAAGCCCCUUCGACAUUCGAACGUGCGCCGCAACUUUACACCCUUCCAAGUCCAUCCUUAUUGGCCUCACAUUGAGUCAUAAGCCCACGCUACUUGGCUUGGCGAUUUAACUUCUAACAUUCGUGUAUAUAAAAUGUGUGACAAAAGCAUCUC
rnacentral:lncRNA from 1 species